rnacentral:lncRNA from 1 species
GUUUUUUAUAUGUACGCUACAUAGUUAGCUUCUUUGAAAGCUAUUAAAACAUUGUCAUAUUACGUAAAGUCUUACUUGAGAAUGCAUUGGACACUUAGCUAUAGAAGAUAAAAAAAAUUUCAAUAAUAAUUCCUAACCACUCAAAUAAAAUCGUAUAUAAAUUGGUUUUGAAGCUUAAUAAACAUAAUCAAGCAUCAAUUAAGUCCAAU